UACAGAGGGUGCAAGCGUUAAUCGGAAUUACUGGGCGUAAAGCGUGCGUAGGCGGUUUCGUAAGUCGGAUGUGAAAGCCCCGGGCUCAACCUGGGAAUUGCAUUCGAGACUGCGAAGCUCGAGUGCGGAAGAGGGAAGUGGAAUUUCCGGUGUAGCGGUGAAAUGCGUAGAUAUCGGAAGGAACAUCAGUGGCGAAAGCGACUUCCUGGUCCAGCACUGACGCUCAGGCACGAAAGCGUGGGGAGCAAACAGG
rnacentral:rRNA from 1 species